ensembl:lncRNA
AUGACCGCGCGCGCGUCUCUCCUCGCGUUAAACGACAACGGGAGCCUCCAAACGGAUUUACGAGAGAAAACACUGUUGAUUCCUGCGUCCGCGGACGGAGCUGCUCCGGGGAAAUGCAGAGACACGGAGGCGAGCGUCAGCAGCGAUAGAACGCGCAGGUGGGAUGUCGUGAAUCUGUCGGGCGAGUCAGGUGCCGAUGGGAGCUGCUGCAGCAUCAUGAGCUGCCAUGAUGCCGGAGGGCGCCGGCGUUACGAGGACUCGGAGUUCACGUUGCACGUGUAUCCCGGCGCUCUGUCCGAGGGCACCAUCUACUGCCCCGUCUCGGCACGGAAGGUGACGUCGGCAGCGGAGGUCAUCGAGCGCGUCAUCGAGCGACUGCAGCUGGACCGCGCGCGCUUCUACGUGCUCGCCGAGGUCAAGGAGUUCGGCGGCGAGGAAUGGAUCCUGAACCCCUGCGACUGUCCCGUACAGCGCAUGAUGCUGUGGCCGCGCAUGGCGCUGGAGAACCGGCUGGCCGGAGACGAUUACCGCUUUCUGCUGCGCGAGAAGGAUCUGGAUGGAUCCAUCCUCUAUGGAAACCUGCAGAUGUGGCUCCGCGUAACUGAGGAGCGGCGGCGGAUGGUGGAGCGUGGACUCCUCCCGCAGCCUCCGUACGUCGACGAUCUCUGCGCGCUGCCUGAUCUAAACGAACGCACUUUGCUGGAGAACUUGCGUGGACGCUUUCGGCAGGAGAAGAUUUACACGUACGUCGGCGGGAUCCUGAUCGUCGUCAACCCCUUCAAGUUCCUGCCCAUCUAUAACCCCAAAUACGUUAAGAUGUACGAUAAGCAGCGGCUGGGGAAGCUGGAGCCGCACAUUUACGCGGUGGCUGACGCGGCGUAUCACGCCAUGCUGCAGAGGAGGAGGAACCAGUGCAUCGUGAUCUCGGGAGAGAGCGGAUCAGGAAAGACGCAGAGCACCAACUUCCUCAUCCACCACCUGACAGCGCUCAGCCAGAAGGGCUUUGCCAGCGGCGUGGAGCAGAUCAUCCUCGGGGCCGGACCUGUGCUGGAGGCUUUUGGAAAUGCCAAAACGGCCCAUAACAAUAAUUCCAGCCGCUUUGGCAAGUUUAUUCAAGUCAACUAUCAGGAGAGCGGGACUGUGAGAGGAGCUUAUGUGGAGAAGUAUCUUCUGGAAAAAUCCCGACUGGUUUAUCAGGAGCACAAUGAGAGGAACUAUCAUGUGUUUUACUACCUGCUGGCUGGAGCGAGUGAAGAAGAAAGAAAAACAUUUCACCUCCUUAAACCAGAGGAGUAUCAUUACCUGAACCAGAUAACAAAGAAAGUCCACAGACAGCACUGGGGAAAUUACUGUGAGACCGAGCUGGACUGUUUCACGGUGGAGGGUGAAGACCUGAAGCAUGACUUUGAGCGACUGCAGCUGGCCAUGGAGAUGGUGGGCUUCCUGCCGACCACCAGAAAACAAAUCUUUUCUUUACUGUCUGCGAUUCUUCUCCUGGGAAAUAUCCGUUACAAGAAGAAGACGUUCAGAGACGACUCCAUCGAUAUCAGCAACCCGGAGGUGCUUCCUAUCGUCUCUGAACUGCUGGAGGUGAAGGAGGAGAUGCUUUUCGAGGCUCUGACCACACGAAAGACGGUGACGGUGGGCGAGAGGUUGAUCGUGCCGUACAAACUGGCCGAGGCGGGGACGGUGAGGGACUCGAUGGCCAAAUCUCUGUACGGCGCUUUGUUCGACUGGAUCGUCUUCCGCACAAACCACGCACUGCUCUACAACAAAGACCUGGAGGAUUCAGACAAGAUCCUGUCCAUCGGUGUGCUAGACAUCUUUGGCUUUGAGGACUACGAGAACAACAGCUUCGAGCAGUUCUGCAUCAACUUCGCCAACGAGACGCUGCAGCAUUACUUCAACCAGCACGUCUUCAAGCUGGAGCAGGGUGCCAUUAUUAGUGGCUACACACUGUAUGUAUACAGUAUAGUGUGUAUGCAUGUGCUGUCUAUGACAUGUCUGUUGUGUCUGCAGGACUUCAGGGAGAAGAACACGGAUCACAUGCGUCCAGAUAUCGUGGCUCUGCUGAAGAGCAGCCGGAACGCUUUCAUCUGUGGCCUGAUGGGAAUCGAUCCGGUGGCCACCUUCCGCUGGGCCGUGAUCCGGGCUUAUUUCCGAGCACACGUCGCCUUCAGAGAGGCCGGGAAACGGCACAAGGAGAAGAAGACGACGAAGACGAGCUCUGAUGGUCCGGUUCAGAAUCAGAAAAGUGUGGACAGCUUCAGUUUCCUGCAUCAUCCUGUUCACCAGCGGAGCCUUGAGAUCCUGCAGCGAUGCAAAGAUGACAAAUACAGUAAGAUGACAGAAAUAACACACUUCAGCAGAUCUACAGUCAUCCAAAACAAUCGCGUCUCCUCGCUCUCGUCUCAUGAGGAGGAGGGCAUCUUCGUGAACUCGGGGGAUAAUAAGCUGCUGGAGCGAGCGCAGGGCAUCCUGAUUCCUGUCCCGUGUGUGACGCAGGUGUCUCUGAAUAAGCUGAUGGAGACUCUGGGACAGUCGGAGCCGUACUUUGUGAAAUGCAUCCGCUCUAAUGCGGAGAAGCUUCCUCUGCGUUUCAGCGACGUGCUGGUGUUGAGACAGUUACGCUACACCGGGAUGCUGGAGACGGUGAGGAUACGCCGCUCCGGAUACAGCGUCAAAUACAGCUUCCAGGAUUUUGCCCAUCAUUUCCGUGUGCUGUUACCUGCGGGCUUUCACUCCUCACAGACGGGGAUCAGACAGUUCCUGCAGAGCGUCGACCUCGAGCCCAACGGACAUCAAGUGGGCAGAAGCACGGUGUUCCUGCGGGAGCGUCUGCGGCAGCGUCUGCAGGAGCAGCUUCAUCAGGAGGUGUUGAGGAGGAUCGUGUGUCUGCAGAGGAGCUUCAGGACGCAGCAGGAGAGGAGACGCUUCUGCAGACAGAGACGAGCCGCUACACUCAUACAGCGCUGGUGGAGGGCGUGUGUGACUCGCGCUGACGCAGAGCUCCAGCAGGGGGCGGCGGUGUGUCUGCAGGCGGCCUGGAGAGGCUUCAGAGAGCGCCAGCUGUUCCAGCGGCGGAGGAGAGCGGCGCUGAUCAUCCAGACGAGCUGGAGGAGAGUCCUGCAGACACGACACUCGGCCGCGUGCCUCAUACAGUCCUCCUGGAGGAGCCUCAGACAGAGACGCCGCUUCCUGCAGCAGCGCCGCGCCGCCGUCACGCUACAGGCCGCCUGCAGGGGGCAGCGCGAGCGCCAGAGAUUGCAUUGCCUUAAAGGGGCAAAUUUGGGUCAGUUCAUGCUUUCCCUGGGAGUCAAACCUCGACGUGGAGAGAAAAGCCUCUGUGAAAACACUGUGAGCAAAAGUUUACACGCCCAACAAAACCCAACCGAAGUCCAAGAGGAGAAAGGAGAAACUCAGCCGGCCGAAGCUCCCAGAAGCGUAGACGACAGCACGCUGAAGAGCCGCUCCAAACGUGAAAGCAGGAGACAGCGGGAGCUCCAGCAAGCCACCUUCAGUCUAGAGCUGCUCAAAGUGCGCUCCGCUUCAGUGGACGACGCGCUUCCCGCUCAGAUCCCGCUCUGCACACAUCUUCCCUCGGAGAGCCAAGACAGCUGCGAGCUCCUCGGCGAAGCUCGAGAGCUUUACGUGAGACACCCAUCAGCCAGAAACGAAACCAGAACCAGAUCUGAUAACUGUUUUGUUUCCCAUCUCAAGUCGUCUCAGAAAGAGCAGAAGAGGAUCCAGAAGACCAUGUCGUCAGGGGACCUUGGGAAAAUGGAUUCGCUCAGGAAGUCAAUCUCCCAAACCGACAGCAGGUCAGAUGGGAUUCAGUCCUUCUUUGACAACACUGGCCCCGUCUACAAUGGUUUCUCUCUCGCAGACUCUCCUCAGGGAAGCCGUGAGCCGUCGGAGCGCGGACGCGACAGCAAGGAGAACCGUGAGCCGAUGAUGGGCAUGAUGUCGAUGAAGAGGAGACGCAGUGUGAAGAUCAGUAGCGUGUCUCUAGAAUCGUCCGCCUGGCAGAACGACUCGCUGCACAUCCUCACCAGCACUGCAGACUAUCGCAGCAUGAACGACUUCCUCAUGAAGAAGGUCGAUCUAGAAGCUGAAGACAGUCAGAAGGACACACCUGUGGAUGUGGUUUUCAAGAAGGCGCUGAAAGAAUUUCGCCUCAACAUCUUCAACUCGUACUCUACUGCUCUGGCCAUGGAUGAUGGCAGGAGCAUUCGUUAUAAAGAUCUCCACGCUCUGUUUGAACACAUCUUAGAGAAGAACAUGCGUCUGGAGCAGAGAGACUGGAGCGAGUCGCCGGUUAAAGUCUGGGUCAACACCUUCAAAGUCUUCCUUGAUGAGUUCAUGAUGGAAUACAAGCCAAUGAAUGGAACCAUCAGCAAGGCUCCUAAACCUGAGAGGAAGAAGAGGAGGAAAAAGGAAUCAGACACCGUGGAAGAGCACAUGGGUCACAUCUUUAAAUCCACUCAGUACAGCAUCCCGACCUACUGCGAGUUCUGUUCGUCUCUCAUCUGGAUGAUGGACAAAGCCUUUAGCAACAAACUUUUAGAGUUGUCUCGUUUAACGAGCGAUGAGAGAGCCGUCCCCCUGGUGGUGGAGAAGCUGAUCAACUACAUCGAGAUGCACGGCCUGUACACCGAGGGCAUCUACAGGAAGUCUGGAUCCACCAAUAAAAUCAAAGAACUCAAGCAGGGGCUGGACACCGAUGCGAACAGCGUGAAUUUAGAUGACUACAACAUCCAUGUGAUCGCCAGCGUGCUGAAGCAGUGGCUGCGUGACCUUCCCAACCCCCUCAUGACCUUUGAACUCUACGAGGAGUUUCUCAGGGCUAUGGGUCUGCAGGAUAAGCGUGAGGUGGUUCAGGGGGUUUAUUCGGUCAUCGAUCAGCUCAGCCGGACUCACCUGAGCACACUGGAGAGACUCAUAUUCCACCUGGUCCGGAUCUCAUUCCAGGAGGAGACGAACCGCAUGUCUUCAAACGCACUGGCCAUCGUGUUUGCACCGUGCAUACUGCGCUGUCCCGACACCACCGACGUAAUUGAAACUUUAUAUCUCACAAUUCAGGAACUGAUCAUCUGCGAGCAGAUGAGGAAAUAUAAAGCCCGUCUGAAGGAUAUCAACACACUGGAGUUUGCCGAGAACAAAGCCAAGAGUCGUCUGACGCACAUCCGGAGAUCUAUGGUGAGAGAUACGACCCUCUCAGAGGAAGAACUGACCUUUGAGAUGCUGGCUCUGGAUCCCAGAGCGUCGGAUGACGAGAUGCUGGAGUCGGAAGCGUCCAUCGGAACUGCAGACAGCUCGGAAAACCUCAUGGAGUCGGAAGGUGCCGCGUCCGAUCAAUGGGAAAAAAGCCCCGGGGCGUCAUCUGCGACACGCUGGAGGAAGUCCGAGUCCAAAAGCAGACGCGGUUUACGCCGUCAGCCUGAAUCUCUGGACUCUGUGGACUCGGCCGUAGCCUCGCUGUCCUCCGUGUCGUCCACGCCUCACUAUCGCUUUCGCUCGUCCUCUUCUGGGCCGCUGUUUUCGUCAGCCUCUCCUGGGGACUUGCACAUCCUCCCCGACCAGGAGGGCUCCGGACAGGCUUCCCUGACCACUCGAUGUGCCUCCAGCUGCGAGAAAACCCCUCCCCGGCCCAGAGGGAACCGAAGCUGCCCGCCAAAAACCCGCGAGCCGGGAGAAAGCAGCGGCGGCGGCCGGAGGAGAGAGCAUGACUUCGGUUCUUCUCAGCCUUUGGUGCUGUAUGGGAGUAAUGAAUUUAUGGUGUGACGACGAUGGUGUCCAACAUUAGCCGGAGCUGGUAAAGCAGAAGCACCAGUGGAUGUCCUGAAAGAGAAAAUGCUUGGAAAUCAGCCUUCAGUUGCUUGCCCUUAAGGAAGGUACUAAAAACAAUGCUGAAGGACCUGCUGACUGUAACGGACCUGCUGGACCGGUCUGUUUUCACAACAAGAAUAGCUGAACAGGGAAAGAGCGAUUUUUAACGUCCAUUUUCAUGUUUACAGAACUGAGCCAAUGAGAAGUCAAGCCACUUCAACUGACUGCAUGCCGUAUUGCUACCAUAUUGUUUUCACUCUAUGAUUAAAACCUUUGAUAAAGUGCUAAAUAUGUAAAAUAAUAUUAUAUUAUUGACAAGGGUCGAACGAAUCGUGUAAAUAGCUGAAAUCCCUGUGCUGCUGGUUGAACCAUGUGAAAAUAACGUCUUUUUGUGUUGCAGAUUGAAAACUAGGGCGAAUCUGGUGUGUGUGUGUGUGUGUGUGUGUGUGUGUUGUUUCUUAUGGGUCUGACACAAACGCACACGAUUUAGGUCUUAUUUCAUUCCAUUUUUGCAUAAUGCAAACAAUCUUGGUUUUCUAUGCAAAAUCGGUUUGAUUGUGGGGUGAAAUCUGACCCCGGGCAUGUGCUUUAACCCACGUUUUUUGCUUUUUUUGCUUUGUUUUCCAUUCAGAUGAAAAAGCAAAAUUUUGAUAAGGGAUGAAAAGUCAGAUGUGUGUUUUUCUGUAGUUUUACUUGACAUCCUUUUUUCUUUUUUUCUCAUCAGUGUUAUGCACAACCAAAUCAGGACUUUUGUUUUUUUGGUAAAUUGCUUUUUUUUUUAAAGUAUAUUGUGUUUUACACAUGCUGAUAUUUUAUUGUGAAUUUCAAGUAUAUUAAUAUUUUUGGUGUUCCAUCGUGCCAUCUGGAGUCACACGUUUAGUUGGCCAUAACAUCCUUUCUGUUAAAAAAACUUAGAUUUAAUUUAGGGCUGAUUUAUCACAAACAUCCUCUGCUGUGGAUUUUUACCCUUUAAACUGUCAUUAGUAGAUUAACAUGCAAACGUAUAGCAGUAAAGUACAUAGAAAAACAAGGACACGUAAUAGCAAAAAGCUCAAAGCUUCACUAUAUAGUACGUUUACGCAGUCGACAUUGCUGUCUAUGUGCAGGGAAUGUGUCUCCAGAAGCUGUUUACUCUUUUCGAUGUGCUGUUACAGAUAUCUAUGUCUAUAUCUAUGUCAUAUCAGUCAUAGCCUAUUGCAAGAAACCAUCACCAUGGUGCAAUAUCACAAGAGACAUUAAGCUAUGUUUUUAUGUUCUGGUAAGUAUACUUGGGUACUGUCCUAAACUUUAAGUCCACUAAUGCUCAAAAGCGGGCGGUGAGAAGGAAACGGUUGCUUGUUGCGUCCUGCAUAAGUGAAUGUGAUCACUGUAGCAUGCCACACUAUUAUCAAGUUUCUCUUUUACAGCUACUGUAUUUAAGACCACGUUUGAGGCCGGAAACAUACUCUGUGCAGAAACGCAAACCUGGAUGCAGUUACUAACGGUGCGGUCAAGUUUUUGUGGAAAAGGUUAUCCAUUGCUACUGGACUGCUAUUUGAAUGACUGGAUUUCGUCUGCAAAAUUUCGCCAUGUGAGAGUAAAAGUCACUGCAACCUUUUACUGUGGCUUCAUAACACUUUGAGUUAUGGAGGGCAUAAAAAGAAAAUAAAUAAUAACAUGCUUAAGUGACUCA